AUGCAAGUCUCCAAGACUUCCCAGCACUCCAAUCACUCCAAUAUAGAUUGGUCGAUCAUAGAGAGUGCAUCGCCCAUUGACGACCUGAUUGAGGACCUGGACGGGAGAGAGCAUUGCCAACGGAAACGGUUUUUGUCCAUCCCCAACUUGACACGAGCGGCAAUAUCGGUGAGGACAUUGACGACUUGGACGACGCUCUGGUCGCUAUUCACCGUUCGAAAGCCUCCAUUCUCACUUAGCAUCAAUCGGAUUCAGAUAGCACAAUGUCAUCUAGCGACGAUAGCAUGAUACACACACCUGUGGUAGAGGUGGAGAGCCCAGAGUCGAAAAUUGCUCGGUUGGACGCGGCCCUUCAAGCCAAAGAGGCGGCCCUUGAAGCCAAAGAGGCGGCC